rnacentral:rRNA from 1 species
AGGAUGAACGCUGGCGGCGUGCCUAACACAUGCAAGUCGAACGUCCUGUCUCGCAAGAGGCAGGGAGUGGCGGACGGGUGAGUACUACGUGGGUCAUCUACCGUGAGGUGAGGAAUACCGGCGAGAAAUCGCCGACAAGACCGCAUAGGCUCGAUGCAAGUCGAGCAAAGCUCUUUCGAGAGAGGGAGCGCCACACGAGGAGCCUGCGCCCGAUUAGCUAGCUGGUGGAGUAACGGUUCACCAGGGCGACGAUCGGUAGCUGGUCUGAGAGGACGAUCAGCCACACUGGGAUUGAGAACGGCCCAGACUCCUACGGGGGGCAGCAGUGAGGAAUUUUCGUCAAUGGGGGCAACCCUGAACGAGCAACGCCGCGUGCAGGAAGAAGGUUUUCGGAUCGUAAACUGCUUUUCUCGGGGAAGAGAACGGACGGUACCCGAGGAAUCAGCCCCGGCUAACUACGCGCCAGCAGCCGCGGU